rnacentral:rRNA from 1 species
UACAUGGGGUGCAAACGUUGCUCGGAAUUAUUGGGCGUAAAGCGCGCGUAGGCGGUUACUCAAGUCGGAUGUGAAAGCCCUCGGCUUUACUGAGGAAGUGCACCCGAAACUGAGUAGCUAGAGUACCAAAGAGGGUCGCGGAAUUCCCGGUGUAGAGGUGAAAUUCGUAGAUAUCGGGAGGAACACCGGUGGCGAAGGCGGCGACCUGGGUGGAUACUGACGCUGAGGCGCGAAAGCGUGGGGAGCAAACAGG